AAAACAUCUUUUUUUGAUAAUAAUUUAAAAUUGUCCCUGCCCAAUGAAGUUGAUUUGAAUGGCUGCAGUAUCCUGACUGUACAAAGGUAGCAUAGUAAAUUGCUUUUUAAUUGAAAGCUUGAAUGAAGGGGGUGAUAAGAUAUAUACUUUAUUAAAAUAAAAAUUUUAAUUUAAUUUUUGGAUUAGAAAGUUAAAAUUUUUAAAUGGGACGAGAAGACCCUAUAGAAUUUAAUAAAUUUUUUAAUUGAAUUGAUUUAUAUUUUUAGUUUAAUUAUAUAAUUUAUUUAAUUGGGAGGAUUAUUAAAUUUAAAUAACUUUAUUUAUUUUUUUAACAAAAAUAUUUGGAUUAAUGAUUUUAGAUUUUUAAAUUUAAAAUUAAAUUACCUUAGGGAUAACAGUAAAAUAUUUUUGGAGAGUUCGUAUUGAUAAAAAUGUUU
rnacentral:rRNA from 1 species